UGCCUACGGGACGCAGCAGUAGGGAAUAUUGCUCAAUGGGGGAAACCCUGAAGCAGCAACGCCGCGUGGAGGAUGAAGGUUUUCGGAUUGUAAACUCCUUUUGUUAGAGAAGAAAGACGGUACCUGACUAAGACGCCCCGGCUAACUACGUGCCAGCAGCCGCGGUAAUACGGAGGGUGCAAGCGUUACUCGGGAUCACUGGGCGUAAAGAGCGCGUAGGCGGGAUAGCAAGUCAGAUGUGAAAUCCUAAGGCUUAACCAUAGAACUGCAUUUGAAACUGUUAUUCUAG
rnacentral:rRNA from 1 species